GAGCUCUCAUCUCCUCUGCAUUUGCGAAAUUUCCAAGUGUAGAUCUAGCUUCAAGGAGCAACCCGAGACUUCUAGGAAAGCGUACCUUUGAGACAACAAGCAUGCGUGUGAUCAGUCGAGAUGCGGCCAUGCACCUGCUUGAUGUGGACGACGGCAAGGCUCGAGACGUCGACCGCGCGACCGAUGGUUCAACUAUGGGACUGGCGAGAGCAGAGGAUGCGAGACGAUAUGAUGCGAGCGUUGGAGGCCUUGGAGGGCACGCGGCCUAUGAGUCGGGUAUUGAGUGGGGAUGGUUCAACUAUGGGACUGGCGAGAGCAGAGGAUGCGAGACGAUAUGAUGCGAGCGUUGGAGGCCUUGGAGGGCACGCGGCCUAUGAGUCGGGUAUUGAGUGGGAUAAUUGAGUCUGUACUGGGGGUGAGGUCGAGUGUUGUUUUAGGGCUCGAUACCUACUUAAAGCCAUCGUGUAUGUGGAUGAGCUUAAGUAAGGUUGAAAGCAUUAGUUUCCUUUAUUGAGUCUUGAUGUAAUAAAAAGCCUUGGUCUAUUAAAUAAAAUGAAGUUUAU